CCUACGGGAGGCAGCAGUGAGGAAUAUUGGUCAAUGGGCGCGAGCCUGAACCAGCCAAGUAGCGUGAAGGAUGACUGCCCUACGGGUUGUAAACUUCUUUUAUAAAGGAAUAAAGUGAGGCACGUGUGCCUUUUUGUAUGUACUUUAUGAAUAAGGAUCGGCUAACUCCGUGCCAGCAGCCGCGGUAAUACGGAGGAUCCGAGCGUUAUCCGGAUUUAUUGGGUUUAAAGGGAGCGUAGAUGGGUUGUUAAGUCCGUUGGGAAAGUUUGCGGGUCAAACGUAAGAUUGCAGUUGAUACUGGCAGUCUUGAGUACAGUUGAGGUAGGUGGAAGUCGUGGUGUAGCGGUGAAAUGCAUAGAUAUCACGAAGAACUCCGAUUGCGAAGGCAGCUUACUAAACUGCCACUGACGUUGAUGCUCGAAAGUGUGGGGAUCAAACAGGAUUAGAUACCCUUGUAGUC
rnacentral:rRNA from 1 species